UGGGAGGCUUUGAAGCGUGGACGCCAGUUCGCGUGGAGCCAUCCUUGAAAUACCACCCUGGCAUGCUUGAUGUUCUAACUCUGGUCCGUAAUCCGGAUCGAGGACAGUGUAUGGUUGGCAGUUUGACUGGGGCGGUCUCCUCCUAAAGAGUAACGGAGGAGUACGAAGGUGCGCUCAUACCGGUCGGAAAUCGGUCGUAGAGUAUAAAGGCAAAAGCGCGCUUGACUGCGAGACCGACACGUCGAGUGGGUACGAAAGUAGGUCUUAGUGAUCCGGUG
rnacentral:rRNA from 1 species